AUUUUACUUCAAUAAAUUUUCUCUAUUGUUAAACGAAAUCUAUUUAUUAAUUCAAGCAAAUUUCUCGAUUGACAAGUUAUGACGUAUCGUGAUAUGUAUAAUAGCGGGGGAUUAUGGAACAAAAAAUAAAUUCACUUGGUUUCAGACUGGGUAAAACCCAAGGUCAUGAUCAUUCCCUUUGGUUUUCACAACCCAAAAAUUAUUUGUAUACAUCUUAAUUGUACGCUAAAAAUUUUGUAUUUUAUUGGGUAUUCAUUCAUUAUUUUAAUAUCAAUUUAUAUGUAAACAAGUUUAUAUUUCUCUUUUGUUUUGUAUUCAACCUAAUUAUAUACCAACAUAUUUUGUA